AGCUCAUGCUACUGGCCACGGGACUAACCUCGUCUCAAGGAGUUAAGGAGCUGGCCGGUGCCCUCCUCUCUCCUAGACUCCCCUGACUCUCUUCCUGCCACCCAGCGCUGGGGGUCCCAGGAGUCGCACGCCACCGUGACCACACUGAAAGACCCCGGACACCUGCGGCAGGCCGGGCCCACCGGCCAGAGUCAGGCACAUUAUCAGAAGAAUGCAUGAAGCAAUGAGGAGUUACCAAGAGCAGAGGCUUCAAGUAGCGCCCUAAUGAAGAGCCAGGAGAUACAUUUCAUUACAUACAAGCUGUCUUUUCCUAAACGUGAUGGAAGCCAUUGCUCAUCAGAGAUUGUGUCAUUAAAAUGGGGCUUUUAUACCUGAGGGAAGACAUCUUGAUUCUGCUGGCCCUGAAAGAUUUGAAGAAAUACAUCAGAAUGAAUGGGGCCCUGUUACCAUCCCUCCUGCCACAGCUUUC